rnacentral:rRNA from 1 species
CCCUUAGAUGUUCUGGGCGGCCCGCGCACUACAUUGGCACUCUCAAUAAGUUCCUAGAUCUAAAACUUUGGGGUAUUCUAUUAAGUGGUGUCGUGACUGGGAUUAACCCUUGCAAUUAUUGGUUACGAACGAGGAAUUCCUUGUAAUCGCGGUUUAUCAGCCCGCGUUGAAUGCGUCCCUGCCCUUUGUACACACCGCCCGUCGCUCCUACCGAUGAAUCGUCCGGUGAAGUUCAUGGAGUGGUGGUUGUUCCAGCUGCUGUCGAAGUGAAAUGGACCUCACGAUUGAGAGGAAGGAGAAGGCGUAACA